AUACUUAACUGGCAGGGGAGUAUACCUGAGCAAGAAGGUGGUUCACCCAGGCGAGUCUUAAACCAUUGCAAUCGGUUAUGCUGACCCCUGCGAAUUCCCAAAUGUGGGAAUCUCGACUGACAUAUAUUUGUGUAGUGGGGGACUGACGUUCGCCGCUCUACCCCUG